GCAUGAUAAUGACCAGGUCCAGGUGCCUUCCUAACCAUGCUUUUCCACUCUUUCAGAUGGAAGUCCUUAUACUUGGUGGGUUGGCAAGGCCAACGAGAAGCACUACUACUGGGGGGGCUCCGAGCCGGGAAUUCAGAAGUGUGCCUGUGGCAUUGAGCGCAACUGCACAGACACCAAAUACUACUGCAACUGUGACGCAGACUACAAGCAGUGGAGGAAGGAUGCUGGCUUCUUAUCCUACAAAGACCACCUGCCAGUGAGCCAGGUGGUAAUUGGAGAUACUGACCGGCAAGGCUCAGAAGCCAAACUGAGUGUGGGGCCCCUGCGCUGCCAAGGAGACAGUAAGUUUGCCCAUUCACUGUGCUUUACAGUUUAUCACAUUUAAAUAGCAUUUCUGUGAUUCUCAGAGGUUGCCAGAAAACAGCCUUGCUCUUCUGUAACCCCUACAGAAACAUGAGGUAACUAACACAAGCAAGUAGAGUCUAAUGAACUCUAAAUAGACCUUUGUUCAUAAGAGUGGGUGACAGGCAUAAACUCUCCAGUACAGGAACC
rnacentral:lncRNA from 1 species